rnacentral:rRNA from 1 species
UACGUAGGGGGCAAGCGUUGUCCGGAUUUAUUGGGCGUAAAGAGCGUGUAGGCGGCCAAGCAGGUCCGCUGUGAAAACUCGAGGCUCAACCUCGAGACGUCGGUGGAAACCGUUUGGCUAGAGUCCGGAAGAGGGGAGUGGAAUUCCCGGUGUAGCGGUGAAAUGCGCAGAUAUCGGGAAGAACACCCGUGGCGAAGGCGGCUCUCUGGGACGGUACUGACGCUGAGACGCGAAAGCGUGGGGAGCGAUCCGG